rnacentral:rRNA from 1 species
GAUGAACGCUGGCGGCGUGCCUAAUACAUGCAAGUCGAGCGAACGGACGAGAAGCUUGCUUCUCUGAUGUUAGCGGCGGACGGGUGAGUAACACGUGGAUAACCUACCUAUAAGACUGGGAUAACUUCGGGAAACCGGAGCUAAUACCGGAUAAUAUUUUGAACCGCAUGGUUCAAAAGUGAAAGACGGUCUUGCUGUCACUUAUAGAUGGAUCCGCGCUGCAUUAGCUAGUUGGUAAGGUAACGGCUUACCAAGGCAACGAUGCAUAUCCGACCUGAGAGGGUGAUCGGCCACACUGGAACUGAGACACGGUCCAGACUCCUACGGGAGGCAGCAGUAGGGAAUCUUCCGCAAUGGGCGAAAGCCUGACGGAGCAACGCCGCGUGAGUGAUGAAGGUCUUCGGAUCGUAAAACUCUGUUAUUAGGGAAGAACAUAUGUGUAAGUAACUGUGCACAUCUUGACGGUGCCUAAUCAGAAAGCCACGGCUAACUACGUG